CCCGAGGAGCUGGAGUACGAGGAGGUGGAGCUCUACAAGGCCAGUCACCGGGACAAGCUGGGGCUCACGGUCUGCUACCGCACCGACGGCGAGGAGGACGCUGGCAUCUACGUGGGGGAGGUGAACCCCAACAGCAUCGCGGCCAAGGACGGGCGCAUCCGCGAGGGCGACCGCAUCAUCCAGAUUAACGGGGUGGAGGUGCAGGACCGC